rnacentral:rRNA from 1 species
UACAGAGGGUGCGAGCGUUGUCCGGAAUUAUUGGGCGUAAAGAGCUCGUAGGCGGUGUGUCGCGUCGGCCGUGAAAACUUGGGGCUUAACUCUGAGCGUGCGGUCGAUACGGGCAUCACUUGAGUUCGGCAGGGGAGACUGGAAUUCCUGGUGUAGCGGUGAAAUGCGCAGAUAUCAGGAGGAACACCGGUGGCGAAGGCGGGUCUCUGGGCCGAUACUGACGCUGAGGAGCGAAAGCAUGGGGAGCGAACAGG